UAAUUGACUCGACCAGGAUCUAUACAAAGUCAAAGACCUUGAAGGGAUUGGCUCCGAGCCGCGACUAAUAUGGGAUCAAAUCACAUGGCCGCCAUUGAUCCUCAGACCUAAUCAGCCUGUCGUACACUCGGGAGAAUACGGCUGGAAAGAAUCAAUCAGGAAGAAUUUGGAUAGAAAAACAGGAAAAGACCAGUCCAGGCCGCAACGACGGAAUGAAGGCAAGAAUAUGAAGCCAGGACAAUGGCACACCCACGAUCAACACACCG
rnacentral:lncRNA from 1 species